rnacentral:misc_RNA from 1 species
GAUGAAGAACGUAGUGAAAUGCGAUAAGUAAUGUGAAUUGCAGAAUUCAGUGAAUCAUCGAAUCUUUGAACGCACAUUGUGCCCCUUGGUAUUCCGAGGGGCAUGCCUGUUCGAGCGUCAUUAUAACCCCUCAAGCUCAGCUUGGUGUUGGGGCCUGCUGCACUGGCAGCCCUUAAAAUCAGUGGCGGCGCCAUCUGGCUCUAAGCGUAGUAAUUCUUCUCGCUAUGGAGUCCUGGUGGAUGCUUGCCAUCAACCCCCAAUUUUUCUAUGGUUGACCUCGGAUCAGGUAGGGAUACCCGCUGAACUUAAGCAUAUCAAUAAGCGGAGGA